rnacentral:rRNA from 1 species
UACGGAGGAUCCGAGCGUUAUCCGGAUUUAUUGGGUUUAAAGGGUGCGCAGGCGGAAGAUUAAGUCGGUGGUGAAAUUUUGCAGCUCAACUGUAAAAGUGCCAUUGAUACUUGUUUUCUUGAGUGUGGAUGAAGUAGGCGGAAUUUGUGGUGUAGCGGUGAAAUGCAUAGAUAUCACGAGGAACUCCGAUUGCGCAGGCAGCUUACUAAACUACUACUGACGCUCAGGCACGAAGGCGUGGGGAGUCAAACAGGAUUAGAUACCCCGUA